rnacentral:misc_RNA from 1 species
GAUGAAGAACGUAGCGAAAUGCGAUAAGUAGUGUGAAUUGCAGAAUUCCGUGAAUCAUCGAAUCUUUGAACGCACAUUGCGCCCUUUGGUAUUCCUUAGGGCAUGCCUGUUCGAGCGUCAUUUAAACCUUCAAGCCUCGCUUGGUGUUGGGUAUCCGCCUAGUCAAUAGGCCUGCCCCAAAGAUAUUGGCAGCUUGUCCACCCGCUCUCAGCGCAGCACAAUUGCGCUCCGACUGGAGGAUGAGAUCCCAAAAGCGUAUUUUUAAAUCUUGACCUCGGAUCAGGUAGGGAUACCCGCUGAACUUAAGCAUAUCAAUUAAGCGGAGGA